rnacentral:rRNA from 1 species
CUGAUCCAGCCAUGCCGCGUGCAGGAUGACGGCCCUAUGGGUUGUAAACUGCUUUUAUACGGGAAGAAAUGCGCCCACGUGUGGGCGUCUGACGGUACCGUAAGAAUAAGGACCGGCUAACUCCGUGCCAGCAGCCGCGGUAAUACGGAGGGUCCGAGCGUUAUCCGGAAUCAUUGGGUUUAAAGGGUCCGUAGGCGGGCCUGUAAGUCAGGGGUGAAAGUUUGUGGCUCAACCAUAAAAUUGCCUUUGAUACUGCAGGUCUUGAGUCAUGGUGGGGUCGCCGGAACAUGUGGUGUAGCGGUGAAAUGCAUAGAUAUCACAUAGAACACCGAUCGCGAAGGCAGGUGGCCAACCAUGUACUGACGCUGAUGGACGAAAGCGUGGGUAGCGAACGGGAUUAGAUACCCCGGUAGUCCACGCCGUAAACGAUGGAUACUAGCUGUGGGGACUUCGGUCUCCGUGGCCAAGCGAAAGUGAUAAGUAUCCCACCUGGGGAGUACGUUCGCAAGAAUGAAACUCA